UACGUAGGUGGCAAGCGUUGUUCGGAAUUACUGGGCGUAAAGGGCUCGUAGGCGGCCAACUAAGUCAGACGUGAAAUCCCUCGGCUUAACUGGGGAACUGCGUCUGAUACUAGCGAGCUUGAGUGCAGGAGAGGAACGCGGAAUUCCAGGUGUAGCGGUGAAAUGCGUAGAUAUCUGGAGGAACACCGGUGGCGAAGGCGGCGUUCUGGACUGCAACUGACACUGAAAAACGAAAGCCAGGGGAGCAAACGGG
rnacentral:rRNA from 1 species